AACGAACGCUGGCGGCAUGCCUAACACAUGCAAGUCGAACGAGACCUUCGGGUCUAGUGGCGCACGGGUGCGUAACGCGUGGGAACCUGCCCUUAGGUUCGGAAUAACUCCCCGAAAGGGGUGCUAAUACCGGAUAAUGUCUUAGGACCAAAGAUUUAUCGCCUUUGGAUGGGCCCGGGUUGGAUUAGCUAGUUGGUAGGGUAAAAGCCUACCAAGGCGACGAUCCAUAGCUGGUCUGAGAGGAUGAUCAGCCACACUGGGACUGAGACACGGCCCAGACUCCUACGGGAGGCAGCAGUGGGGAAUAUUGGACAAUGGGCGAAAGCCUGAUCCAGCAAUGCCGCGUGAGUGAUGAAGGCCUUAGGGUUGUAAAGCUCUUUUACCCGGGAUGAUAAUGACAGUACCGGGAGAAUAAGCUCCGGCUAACUCCGUG
rnacentral:rRNA from 1 species